rnacentral:rRNA from 1 species
UAAUACAGAGACCUCAAGCGUUAUCCGGAUUUAUUGGGCGUAAAGCGUCUGUAGGUGGAAUAAAUAGUCAGAUGUUAAAUUUCAGGGCUCAACUCUGAAACCGCAUCUGAAACGUUUAUUCUAGAGGACGGCAGAGGCAAGUAGAACUUAUAGAGUAGCAGUAAAAUGCGUUGAUACUAUAAGGAAUACCAAAUGCGAAGGCAUCUUGCUGGAACGUUCCUGACACUGAGAGACGAAAGCGUGGGUAGCGAAUGGGAUUAGAUACCCCAGUAGUCCACGCCGUAAACGAUGGAUAUUAGGCAUUAGGAGUGUCGACCCUUUUAGUGCCGAAGCUAACGCAUUAAAUAUCCCGCCUGGGAAGUACGAGCGCAAGCUUA